rnacentral:lncRNA from 1 species
UUUGAUUCUCAUCGGAUGUGAGAUACGUAGGUAACAAUCAUCGGGUCCAACCUCCCCUAUGCAAAAUAGCCAAAAAUAUCAAAAAUUUUAAUUUCGUCAUGAAUAAGUCGGGUGACGCCAUUUUUUGUCAAAAAUAAGCUGAAUGUCCCCAAAAGGGCGUCGGAAGGCUGUUUUUGCAAGAUCAGCCAUUCUGAGUCAUUUUUUAAAAAUGGUUUGCGGGCACAACCUUAAAAUCGUCCUCCCAGAAGUGCUGAAAGGCCGUAUCUGCAAAACCAAGCCCCUGCUUUCUAAACGAAGAAAUUUUGAAA